rnacentral:rRNA from 1 species
GACGAACGCUGGCGGCGUGCUUAACACAUGCAAGUCGAACGGAAAGGCCCUGCUUUUGUGGGGUGCUCGAGUGGCGAACGGGUGAGUAACACGUGAGUAACCUGCCCUUGACUUUGGGAUAACUUCAGGAAACUGGGGCUAAUACCGGAUAGGAGCUCCUGCUGCAUUGUGGGGGUUGGAAAGUUUCGGCGGUUGGGGAUGUACUCGCGGGUUAUCAGCGUGUUGGUGGGGUAGUGGCUUACCAAGGCUUUGACGGGUAGCCGGCCUGAGAGGGUGACCGGCCACAUUGGGACUGAGAUACGGCCCAGACUCCUACGGGAGGCAGCAGUGGGGAAUAUUGCACAAUGGGCGGAAGCCUGAUGCAGCAACGCCGCGUGCGGGAUGACGGCCUUCGGGUUGUAAACCACUUUCGCCUGUGAUGAAGCGUGAGUGACGGUAACGGGUAAAGAAGCACCGGCUAACUACGUG